rnacentral:misc_RNA from 1 species
GUGAAUCAUCGAAUUUUUGAACGCAAAUUGCACUCUCCUCGGAGAGUAUGCCUGUUUGAGGGUCAGCCUAUAAAAAUUGUCCAUGGUUGUGGUUUGCGGUUGGGUUCGUUGGCAAUUUGGUUAUUUUUAAUUCUUUGGCUUUAGGCGCUUUAAAUUUUUUUUUUGGUUCCAUGAACGUUUCUAAGAUUUAUUUCUUUACACGUUUAAGGUAUCGAUUUUUAUUAGACGUGUCGAUAUUAUUGAUUAGGUCCAUAAUUU